UGUGUAUGCAGGUCAUACAUACGCGUCAAGUAUGCGUCACGUGAACGUGUUAUAAAUGUAACACUGUAUAUGCAGGUUGUACAUACGAGUCACGUGAACGUGUUAUAAACCCAGCACUGUAUACGCAGGUUAUACAUACGUGUCACGUGAACGUGUUAUAAACCCAGCACGGUAUACGCAGGUUAUACAUACGUGUCACGUGAACGUGUUAUAAACCCAGCACGGUAUACGCAGGUUAUACAUACGUGAUAUGUUGUAUACGCAUGUUAUAAUUAGGAAUCUGUUGUAUGUGCAUGGUAUAAAUAUAAUGUGUCAUAUGAAGGUGGUAUAAAUGGAACAUUGUGUAUAUAUGUAUGGUAUUAAUAACCUGCAUACUUUCAGCUAAAUUUCGUUAUUAACACAUAAAUAAUACACGUUAUGUAGGAACAUGUUAUAAAUGGAACAUUGUAUAUGUAUGUUACAAAUAUGCAAUAUUUAUAAUCCGCAUAUACAAUGUAACAUGCUCUAUAUGCGUGUUAUAAAUAUUUAAUCUGCUUUAUAUGCAGGUUAUGAAUAAAGACCAUGUUCUAUGAUCUUGUUAUAAAGGUUAACGCUGUAUAUGUAUGAUAGAAACGUGUAAUGCAGUGUAUAGGUGUGUUAUUAAUAUAUAAUACGUCGUAUGUGUGUGUUAUAUGAUAUAUGAUAUAUGGACGGGAUGUGAAAAUCCGGGGAGAACAAAAGAGCAACCGAAUAUGAAACAAAGGAAACCAAAAAAAAAAAUAAAUCUCAUUUCCUGAAAGUGUGUUGAACCGCGUCAGUAAACUGCAAGAUGCAGCAGAUGAACCGGAUGAGCCGUGGUGCACAUUCCUCUUUCACUACUGAAGGAUGUGUGCAGGACUCAUGCAUCACUGCUCAGGACUGUGUGUGUGUGUGUGUGUGUGUGUGUGUACCUGUAGCCCAGACAUUGUGUGUGUCUGGGGGGGAGGGGAGGGGGGGGGAGAGAGAGAGAGAGAAAGAGAGGGAGAGAGAGAGAGAGAGAGAGAGAGAGAGAGAAGAGAGAAAAG
ensembl:lncRNA